UACGUAGGGUGCGAGCGUUGUCCGGAAUUAUUGGGCGUAAAGGGCUCGUAGGCGGUCUGUCACGUCGGGAGUGAAAAACACGGGGCUUAACCCCGUGCCUGCUUCCGAUACGGGCAGACUAGAGGUAUGCAGGGGAGAACGGAAUUCCUGGUGUAGCGGUGAAAUGCGCAGAUAUCAGGAGGAACACCGGUGGCGAAGGCGGGUCUCUGGGCCGAAACUGACGCUGAGGAGCGAAAGCGUGGGGAGCAAACAGG
rnacentral:rRNA from 1 species